rnacentral:lncRNA from 1 species
CAGCAAAUUAUAAUGAUGAGAGAUAUGUGGAAAUUUUAAAGAUGUACAGGAUAGAGUAAGUUAAAAUGCAAGCAGGCAGAAUGAGGCAGAAUGACACUGGACAAUCACUGUGGGAGGAGGAAGAUGAGUUUAAAGUAAAGAUCAAAUUCUCCAAAGUCCAAUGACUGCUGAGCCAAUGGCUGGCCCUGACUAAUGAUCUUCACUGGUUAUGUCUGCUUCCAAAAUGUGGUUUCUAUUGCU